CCGUGCAGCCGGGGAGAUAGCGGUGCCCUGUACCUGCAAUCCGCUAUAGCAGGGGUGUUGUCUUGCCUAGGGUCUUUUGAUAAGGAGCUGCCCUUUAUAAGUGGCGUUGACAUCCGGGUCUUACGCAACAGGAACUUGUGAACCGUGUCAGGUCAGGAAUGAAGCAGCACUAAGCAAAACUUCUUGUGUGUCGUAAGGGCGCCUGGAUUGAGUUAACUGUAGAGGUAACGUCCAUUGAGAUUGAUUCGAAGCGGGGCGCACGG
rfam:Roseburia sp. CAG:309 genomic scaffold, scf466